rnacentral:rRNA from 1 species
CCUACGGGAGGCAGCAGUGGGGAAUCUUGGGCAAUGGACGCAAGCCUGACCGAGCAACGCCGCGUGAGUGAUUAAAGUCCUUCGAUUUGUAAACUUCUGUAGUGGGGACGAAGUAAGCGAUGCUACUCACAUUAUAUGUGUCGGUUAACUACGUGACAGCAGCCGCGGUAUUACGGAGGGGGCAAGCGUUAUCCGGAAUGGCGGGGCGUAAGGGGUGCGUAGGUGGUCUGAAAAGUUAGUAGCGUAAGUUCGGGGCUCAACUUCGGAACUACACCUAAAACUGUUGGGCUUGAGGGCAGGAGAGGUAAAUGGAAUUCCUAGUGUAGCGGUGAAAUGCGUAGAUAUUAGGAGGAACACCAGCGGCGAAAGCGAUUCUCUGGACUGUAACUGACACUGAGGCGCGAAAGCGUGGGUAGCGAACGGGAUUAGAUACCCGAGUAGUC